GUAGUAGUACGUACAGACCAGGCAGUAGUAUGUGUGUAUAAUGCAUAGACUAGGCAGUAGUAUGUACAGACCAGGCAGUAGUACGUACAGACCAGGCAACAGUAUGUGUGUAUAAUGCAUAGACUAGGCAGUAGUAUGUACAGACCAGGCAGUAGUAUGUACAGACCAGGCAGUAGUAUGCAUAGACUAGGCAGUAGUAUGUACAGACCAGGCAGUAGUUCGUACAGACCAGGCAGUAGUAUGUACAGACCAGGCAGAAGUAUGUACAGACCAGGCAGUAGUAUGUACAGACCAGGCAGUAGUAUGCAUAGCCCAGGCAGUAGUAUGCAUAGACCAGGUAGUAGUAUGCAUAGACCAGGCAGUAGUACGCAUAGACCAGGCAGUAGUAUGUACAGACCAGGCAGUAGUAUGUACAGACCAGGUAGUAGUAUGUAUUUUAAACAUCUUCUCCAGGACCACUGGACCAAUUGGCACCAAAUUUGGAAUAUAUAGUCUAUAUACCCAUGUCUUUAAAUGCAGCAUUUUCCAGGACUAUAGCUCAAACAUUAUGGCUGCUAUGAAUCAAUGAGCUUGCACGAAUGGCUUUCAUGUCCAACAUCGCCACCAUGCGUAAAAACUGAACCAUACUUUCCAGGUUAGCUAGGCUCAUAUCCCUGAGCACGUGCACCAAAUUUCAUCACUCUGAGUCAAACAAAUUAAGAGAUAUAAACAUGUGCCUGUUAUACUGCCACUGUGUUGUCAAUCUGAAUGUGCUUGGAUAUGUUGAGUCUUCACAGUGUUUGGAACACGUGUACCAAGUUUUGUUACUAUACGUAUACGUGACUGACGUAUAUGCAUUCAUGUGCCAGACCACGCCCAGAAUGCUUAUUGGUCAAUAAUGGCCAUGUUGAUUUAGGUACUAGUCUGGAAAAUGUUUUAUUGGGAAAACGUUGUCCAUAGAUGCCACAUAUCAUGUUUUGUAGAGAUCCGCCACUCGGUGCCAGAGAAGUAGCGUUUAACGUGUUUUUCACUCAAUUCUAAACGGUGGAAAAUCCAUCAUUGUGAAUCUAAUGGAUCCUUGAGGUAAAUUUGGAGAGGGACCUAUGUACCGAAUUUCAUGACUCUAGAUAAAACAGGGUGAGGGGCACGACCUUUCAAAAUUGGCAUUUUCAAUCGCUUGUUAUAGCGACACCAUCUAGCCAACUGGCAUCGCAUGGGUGGGUUUGGCAGCUGGCCCUUAACAUCAUGUCAGGUUGCACCAUCCGAGGCCUUACCAUCUCACAGUAAUUAGCAUUUCAAUUUCGCCUUACAGAAGAAGAGGAUUAAUAAACAACGUAGCUGCAAUCAGCAAUGCCGGGGUUCAGCUGUGGGCCCACUGUGCCCUAGGACGAGUUACUUAUUUACCAUUUACCACUCUUGCCAAAUAAAACAACUCAAAAUCAAAGGGAUCAUGCAA
rnacentral:lncRNA from 1 species